GAUAUAAUAGCCGACCUCCGGCCCAGAACUCGAGACAACGACAGGGGCUCGCUCUGUGCGGCACUUCCUGUGUCUGCGCGGGAUGAUAACGCAUAAAACAGCGCUUGCUCAGGUCCAGGACGCCAGAAGAAACAGCCCGGUGAGCGCACUUCCGACUUCGGCGCGGGCUGUGACGCAGGAAUCGGGACUCCGGAGGAGCGACGCCCACUUUUGGAGCAGUUUGCGCCUGCGCGGAACGCGUGGCCGGCUUCCGGAAUCCUACCGGGACUUUUCCGGUAGCGAAGCCCGCGCCUGUGCCAAGGCUUGCGAGCAGAAUGCCUUCGCGAUGGACGCCCGCAUUCCACCCCCUUGACCGCUGGGACCCCUAGUGGCGGGUGGGUGGAGCGCGCUCCAUUUACCUGCUGGUUACCUCGUGAGGCGCCUCAGGUCUGUGUGUCUUGUAAAGGCCGAUCUCGGAAUUUAACUCUGAACCUUACUCAGAAACAGGGCAGGGAGAGCUCUUACGAUGUGAUUUUAUUUUAUUUAUUCAUGUAUUUACUUUUGAGUCGGAGCCUUGCUCUGCCGCCCAGGUUGGAGUGCAGUGGCGUGGUCUUGGCUCACUGCAGCCUCCUCCCGGGUUCAAGGAAUUUUCCUGCCUCAGCCUCCCGAGUAGCUGGAACCACAGGCCCGCGCCACCACGCCCGGCUAAUUUUUAUAUUUUUGGUAGAGACGAGGUUUCGCCAUAUUGGCCAGGCUGGUCUCGAACUCCUGACCUCAAGUGAUCCGCCCGCUUCGUCCUCCUAAAGUGCUGGGAUUACAGGCGUGAGCCACCGCGCCCGGCCUUUUACAAUGUGAUUUUGAAGCUGACACUGGCAGUGGGUCCUCAAAGUGCAGACUCACUGGGUAUGGUGCUUCCCCCAACUCCCAGGGCCCCACUCCAAACCCAUGGAUUCAGAGCAUUGCAGGAGAAGAGGAUAAAACGAGCAAUUAAUUCCCUUUCCAUAUGUCAGGUUUUCCUCUUGACUUGAAAAGUCACAGAAAAAUGCUUUAGACAUCUGAAUCUCAGGAAACAAACAAUGGAAGAUAAACAUCCGCAUUUACUGGGCCUGAAAUGGGAAAAUGAAAGAUGUGGCAAGAAACUGACAAGGGCCCAAGAAGGGCGAUGGGUAUCGGAAUUUUUUUCAUCCCGGAAUGAAAUGCUGCUUGCUUUGUGUACCCAAGCUCUUUUUUUAUUUUUAUUUUUUUGAGACGGAGUCUCGCUCUGUUGCCCAGGCUGGAGUGCAGUGGCGCGAUCUCGGGUCACUGGAAGCUCCGCCACCCGGGUUCACGCCAUUCUCCCGCCUCCACUCCAUUCGCCCGCAUUAGGCUCCUGAGUACCUGUGACUACAGGCGCCUGCCACCAUGCCCGGCUAAUUUUUUUUUUAUUUUGGGUAGAGACGGGGUUUUACCGUGUUAGCCAGGAUGGUCUCAAUCUCCUGACCUCGUGAUCAGCCUGCCUCUGCCUCCCAAAGUGCUGGGAUUACAGGCGUGAGCCACCGCGCCUGGCCUCCCCCAAGCUCUUAAUGUUGCUUCCUGAGUUCUUGGUAACUGGGGAAAUCUCCCUAUUUUUUUAUUUUUAUUUUUUUUUGAGACGGAGUCUUGCUCUGUCGCCCAGGCUGGAGUGCAGUGGCGCAAUCUCGGCUCACUGCAAGCCCCACCUCCCGGGUUCAACGCCAUUAUCCUGCGAGCCUCAGCCUCCCGAGUAGCUGGGACUACAGGCGUCCACCACUACGCCCGGCUAAUUUUUUUGUGUUUUUAGUUGAGAUGGGGUUUCACUGUAUUAGCCAGGAUGGUCUUGAUCUCAUGACCUUGUGAUCUGCCUGCCUUGGCCUCCCAAAGGGUUGGGAUUACAGGCGUGAGCCACAGCACGUUUUUUUCUGUUUUGAGAAAAAGUCUCGCUGUGUCACCCAGGCUGGAGUGCAGUGGCACAAUUUUGGGUAACUGCAGCCUCCGCCUCCUGGGUACAAGUGAUUCUCCUGCCUCAGCCUCCCGAGUAGCUGGGAUUAUAGGCGUGCGCCACCACACCUGGCUAACUUUUGUAUUUUUAGUAGCGACAGGAUUUUGCCAUGUUGGCCAGGCUGGUCUUGAACUCCUGACCUAAAGUAUCUGCCCACCAGCCUCCCACAGUGCUGAAAUUAUAGUCAUGAGCCACCGUGCCCGGCCAAAAAUCUCCAGUUUACCCUUCCUUUGUGAAAUCUGUGAGUACCCAAAUGCAGCCACUCAUGUCAAACCCUAACAAAAUCGACCCCAGAGCCCACGAGGAGGGGGUGGCCUCGCACUUGCGCUUGAUAGGAGCUGCCACAAAGGCCUUUCCCAACCAGAACUUUGGGUUCAGCCACUUCUGUGAAGAGCCUCUUUGCUAGCAACAGCCAGCCCCACCGGUGAACAAAGUAGCAUGAACACCAGAGUUCCACAAGGAAGAAAACAAAGCAGUCCAUAUUUAACAUUUAUUUUACUUUGCUGAGCAAGAAUCAUAGACAGCUACUACCACGGCUGCUUCGUUUGGACAAAAAUAACGAGGAGGCAUCCACGGGAUUAGUUACACGGUAUCAACUUACCACCACAGCAGAAUCAACAGUGACUCGCUAAUUAACAGAACCGUUUGCUAGAAAGCACUAAUCUAGUUAUAUAAAUACUGAAAUAGGUCACAUGCAAAACACUAUAAACGUUUUGUGUGAUGU
rnacentral:lncRNA from 1 species